GCCGCCUCAUCUUCGAGCUGGGCGGCAUUCCCGAGCGUGAGCUGGACAAGCUGAAGGAGGAGGCCGCCCGCCUGGGCAAGUCCUCCUUCGCCUUCGCCUUCUACAUGGACACCCAGAAGGAGGAGCGCGCCCGUGGUGUGACCAUCGCCUGCACCACCAAGGAGUUCUUCACCGAGAAGUACCACUACACCAUCAUCGAUGCACCAGGUCCGUCAUGGUUUGGGGAGGGGGGUGGGGGGUGCCAGCUCCUGCAUUCGUGGGUCUAUCAGCCCCUUGCCGCCUACAGGCAUGCUCUCUCAACAGUGUCGAAACCCAUCGUUUCUGCAUCAGGGGAGUAUUUCCGCGCGCCUCGCUGUCUCCUUGGUGCAGCUUGCAUGCACUGAGCCCUUUCUCUGCCCACCCCCCCUUCGAUUUCGCGUGCAGGCCACAGGGAUUUCAUCAAGAACAUGAUUUCCGGCGCGGCCCAGGCCGAUGUGUGCUUGCUCAUGGUGCCCGCCGACGGUAACUUCACCACCUCCAUCCAGAAGGGUGACCACAAGGCCGGCGAGGUGCAGGGCCAGACCCGCCAACACGCCCGCCUCAUCAACCUGCUGGGUGUGAAGCAGCUGGUCGUUGGCGUGAACAAGAUGGACUGCGAUACUGCUGGCUACAAGGUGGGCAAGGGGCACACUUUUUCUACAUCAUGCACGCAUGUGAUGAGGCCUCAGGGUGGGGCCUCUCUUCACUAGUAUAGAGAAUUGGUAUCCUCUGAUGCACAUGCACUGCAGUGCUGCCUGAAGGUAGAAGUUUGCCAGGGUAAUGUGGCACACCUGUCCUGCACCAUGCAUGUGUUGAGGCCUCCAGGGUGGGGCAAUGACUGCAUGUGUACAGAGACUCAUGUUUAGAGACCCCCUGGUCCCCUCUUAUGCAAAUGCGCCUGAAAUGUACUCAAAUGCAGGAGUUGCCCCUGCAAUGCAGCAUUAUAGUAUGUCCGGAAGCCCAGCUGCCCUUGUCUCUUAACUAAGUGCCACAAGGAUUCAAUGUUGGUGUCUUGCAUGCACAUUUGAGCCCUGCUUCCUGAAUCAAGGUUUCACUGGUGAGAGAAGGUCUGAAUAUGAAGCAGACAGAUGUUGUUCACCACCUGGCUUGCUUUCUCGAAGGGGCCUUUUGCAGCCCAGGAUUCUACCAGGAUGAACCCACAAGGUUCCUGCUUCAAAAAGCUUGUUUCCCACGAUCAGUAGAGACUAGUAGUGAGAACAGACUGCACGCGCUUAUCAGAAGUUAGAUAAUCUGAGGUUGCACUUUCGGAAUGGACACUUGAUAGCCCUGGAUUCUACCAAGAUUUUAAGAUGCCCACAAGUUCACUGUAAAGCACGUGCUCGUAUGUGGGGUCCUUAGUUUUGGUGAUGUCUUUGUGCACUUUCAGCCCACUUGGAAUGCAGGCUUCAAUGAUGAGACCUUGUGUCUGAAAAGAUGCAUGUUGUUCAGGUGGUUUCUACCUAGCUCGCUUCUGGAGCGGGUUCUCAGUAACCUUAGAUUUACUAGAACAAUCCACAGUUUGUGUAAGCGAAGUACUGCCAGUGCAUAGUCUACUAAGGAGAAUAACCCUAUAUUCUGAGGAAGCAAUUUUCUGAGUAUGAGGUGUCAGUCCUAGGAAAGACGUGGACAGUACAGGUAAAUGAGUGUACAGCGUUCAGGUUGCAAUUUUUCAGGAUAUGUUCAAGUGCUUUCUCUGGUCAUGCGUAUGAGGAACAUUUUCAUUGCUUGGGUUAUCUCAUGCCCCUCCCAAAGCCAUAUACCCUGAAAGCCUAAAUUUUUAUGUGAUGCUUUCACAGGAGGAGCGUUACAAGGAGAUUGCAGAUGAGAUGCACCACACCCUGUCCAAGGUGGGCUGGAAGCCUGCCUUCCUUCAGGAGAGCGUGCCCAUCAUCCCCAUCUCUGGCUGGAUGGGUGACAACCUGAUCAAGAAGUCCGAGAAGAUGACCUGGUGGAAGGGCAAGGACUGCAAGAACCUUGGUGAGUUCAGCUUCCCUUCCUCACUUUGAUGUUCGCAUGUGCAACAUAGUUGCAUACAUGCUUGCAGGAGACGGCACAGUCCAAGAAGCUCUUGCUGCACAGAUGUUAGACUUCACUGAUGGUCUCGUGAAUUGGCACUUGUUUUGCAGUUUUGAAAUCUGUCAUUUUAACAUUUACAGGAAUCUGAAAUUAUCAUAUUUGCUGCCUAAACUUGGCACAUAGGUUUGCAUGCCCAUCACAGUUGCAUGUCUGCACAAAAGAGGUGGCACAUUUGUACAAGCGUUUGGAGCACAGGUAAUGGUCUUCAAGGAAAGGUGAUAUCACUCUUUUUGCAAUUUUAAGCCUGAGUAAACUUUUGACAGACGCAUAGGACAGUGACAUGUCACUUGCAGCGGAUAUUCUGCUUGCAUGACUUCCGCAUUUCCUGUUGGUGAUUCUGGGCUCGUUUCUGGCUGCUUGUAUUUUUGCUGUCCCUGCCUUAUGUCUCUCUUGAAGCAUCAACUUAUCUUUUUCUUGCAUGGCUUGAUUCUCAUUUGUAAAAUUAGAUGCCUGUGCAGGAAGUGCAGCUUGCUUGAGAUUGGCCUGAAACAUGCUUUCUUCGUUCUCAUGUGCCUCUGCAGCUGGUCAGGUCAUCCAUGUGGACACCCUGCUGCAUGCCUUGAACGACAUGGCUGUGGUGCCUGAGCGCAAGACCGACUGCGCCAUGCGCCUGCCCAUCUCUGGCGCCUACAAGAUCAAGGGUGUGGGUGAUGUGCUGGCUGGUCGCGUGGAGCAGGGCGAGGUCAAGCCUGGUGAUGAGGUGGUGUUCAUGCCCACCCACACUCCCGCCAACCCCUGUGUCGGCAAGGUGUUCACCGUGGAGAUGCACCACAAGCGUGUCGACAAGGCUGGCCCUGGUGACAAUGUGGGCAUGAACAUCAAGGGUCUGGACAAG
rnacentral:lncRNA from 1 species